GACGAACGCUGGCGGCGUGCUUAACACAUGCAAGUCGAACGGAAGGGCCCUGCUUUUGUGGGGUGCUCGAGUGGCGAACGGGUGAGUAACACGUGAGUAACCUGCCCUUGACUUUGGGAUAACUUCAGGAAACUGGGGCUAAUACCGGAUAGGAGCUCCUGCUGCAUGGUGGGGGUUGGAAAGUUUCGGCGGUUGGGGAUGGACUCGCGGCUUAUCAGCUUGUUGGUGGGGUAGUGGCUUACCAAGGCUUUGACGGGUAGCCGGCCUGAGAGGGUGACCGGCCACAUUGGGACUGAGAUACGGCCCAGACUCCUACGGGAGGCAGCAGUGGGGAGUAUUGCAGAAUGGGCGGAAGCCUGAUGCAGCAACGCCGCGUGCGGGAUGACGGCCUUCGGGUUGUAAACCGCUUUCGCCGGUGACGAAGCGUGAGUGACGGUAAUGGGUAAAGAAGCACCGGCUAACUACGUG
rnacentral:rRNA from 1 species